rnacentral:lncRNA from 1 species
ACAUCUCAAAUAUAAGUUUAAAAACUUAUAUUUAUAAUUUGAUACUCCCUCCGUCCAUGAAAGAACUUCCUAGGAGAGAGUGGCACGGGUUUUAAGAAAAAAUAUUAUUGAGUGUAUUGAGAGUGGAUAAAAGGUAGUUGAGUAUAUUGGGAGUGGUGAAAAUGUGUUAUAAUUAAUAUUGGGAGUUGUGAACAGUGAAAAGUAAGAGGAUUAUAAGUGGUGGGGUAUAAUCCAAAAAUAGAUAGGAAGUUCUUUUGUGGACGUCCCAAAAAGAAAAUAUAGGAAGUUCUUUCAUGGACAGAGGGAGUAUUUUUGAAAUAACAAGUGAAUCAAUUACUAACAUUAUGAAUAUAAGUUUUAAAUUUAUAUUUAUAAUUUGGUAUUUAUGAAAAUAACAAGUGAAGCUUUUACUUACAUAAGUUUAGAG